CUUCAACGGAACACUUAGCUAAUCUUGUAAUUUUCACGGAACAACUUAUUUGAGGUUUUCAUCAGUGUUCCGCGGAACACAGUUUUGGAAACCGUGAUCUAUAAGAGACCAUAAGAUUCAAUAGUCAAGUCAGUUCUAAGACGAUAUCUCUAUAAAAAGUCAUGGAAUUUCGUUUUUGUAAUAUUGAAACAAAAGUUUUUCUAAUAAAUAUACGAUCCAAGUAGAAUCAAGCACUUCCACGUGAAUCUG